CCUACGGGUGGCAGCAGUGGGGAAUAUUGCACAAUGGGGGAAACCCUGAUGCAGCGACGCCGCGUGAGUGAAGAAGUAUUUCGGUAUGUAAAGCUCUAUCAGCAGGGAAGAAAAUGACGGUACCUGAUUAAGAAGCCCCGGUUAACUACGUGCCAGCCGCCGGGGUAAUACGUAGGGGGCAAGCGUUAUCCGGAUUUACUGGGGGUAAAGGGGGCGUAGACGGCAGGACAAGUCUGGAGUGAAAUGCCGGGGGUGAAACCCGGAACUGCAUUGGAAACUGUGCAGCUAGAGUGCAGGAGAGGUAAGCGGAAUUCCUGGUGUAGCGGUGAAAUGCGUAGAUAUUAGGAGGAACACCGAUGGCGAAGGCAGCUUACCGGGGUGUAACUGACGUUGAGGAGCGAAAGCGUGGGGAGCAAACAGGAGUAGAUACCCGGGUAGUC
rnacentral:rRNA from 1 species